ensembl:lncRNA
UUAUGAGGAAGGCAAAGAGAUGCUUCCUGGUUGACUGCAGCUUUGAUUUGCCCAAACAGGUAUUGACCUAUAAAACUAGACUAUUCUAUAAAGCUGAGUCUUGGGGAGAUCCUGGCCGAACCUUAACUUCAGGCUUAACUGGGAGGAUUCUGUUGACUCCACUCAGUUCUCGUGCUAUUAAUCUCAACCUUGCCAUAUAAGCUAGAAUCUUUCUUUUUUAAUUGAGAUAUAAUUCACAUACCAUAAAAUGCACCCCAUAUGCUAGAUUCUUUAAAAUUUUUAUUUAAAAAUAAAAUCUGGUUGGGACUUCUCUGGAAGUCUAGUGGUUAAGACUCUGUGCUUCCAGUGCAGGGCUGUGGUUUUGAUUCCUGGUUGAAUAACUAACAUCCCACAUGCCAAGUGGUGAGACCAAAAAGAAAAUGAAUAAAUUUUAAAAAUCUGAUAGGUUCUUUUUUUUCCCCCUCAGUUUUAGUCUCAAAAAGAUAAUAUACAACCCAAGUUGCCCAUCAACAAAUGAAUGGAUUAAGAUAUAUAAUGUGAAGUUGCUCAGUUAUGUCUGACUCUUUGCCACCCCAUGGACUGUAGCCUACCAGGCUCCUCUGUCCAUGAAAUUUUCCAGUAUUCUUGCUGAGAAAAUCCCAUGGACAGAGAAGCCUGGUGGUCUCCCUUCCGUGGGGUCGCAAAGAGUCAGACACAACUGAAGUGACUGAGAACAUGUGCCCGCCCAUUUCGGUCACCAUAAGCACUGAGUUCCCUGUGCUAUACAGUAGGCUCUCAUUAGCUAUCUGUUUUAUACACAUAAAUCUCCAAUGUAUCCCCAACCACCACCCCACCCCAGCUUUCUGUCUAAGUAUCCAUGCAUUUGUUCUCUACGUCUGUGUUUCUAUUUCUGCUUUGCAAAUAAGAUCAUCUUUGCCAUUUUUCUAGAUUCCUUGUCUACGUGUUAAGACACAAUGUUUGCUUUUCUCUUUCUGACUUACCUCACUCUGUAUGACAGACUCUAGGUAGCCUUCUCGGUGGGGAACUUUCUUGUCACGUGGAGUGUCUGGAGGGCCCACGAUCAUUCUUGCCCUGUGACUAGCACAGUCCAAGGCAGGAAAUGGAGACUCCUUGUGUUGUUUGGAGUCCCGGGGUGGGUGGAGCCAGGAGAGCCCUGGGCAGACCUCAAGUGGGCAGGUUGGAGCCUGCUAACGCAGAAGCCACUGCAACAGAAUGUGUGGAAAGAUGGGUUUAUCACAAGCCUACAUGCACUCAAGCCAAAUUCCUGAACUCUCAAAGAUUUGGAGUUUGUUGUUCCAUGAUCAGACUGAAAUAGGGCCUUGUGGCUGGAGGUUUGCCAGGGUCAGAGGGAAGCUGGAGAGCGUGUGGGCCCAGGGCUUGCCUGGAUACUCACAAGGGUACUCAGGCCAGUUUCAUGUCCUUCAUGUCACACAGGCUUGUGCGUGGGUGCCACUCAGGUUGUGCGUAAGUGUGGAAGCAGAGAUGAGGAAUAUCCACGUGCUUCCCUUGAAUAUCGUGUUCAUUCUUCGAUGCUGUGGUCCCAUUCCCACCCCCUACAGUGAUCUCAAGCCAAUUCCAAAGGGACCAUUGCUGGUUGGUGUACUGACUGAUACAGAAUCUAAGUAACAGGCUGUCUUCCUGAACCCAGGACCCAGCAAUAACUGCUUGUCUCAGUUCCCUAAUUUAGAGACCACGUGCGUGCCCCAGGGUUGUCAGCAGCUCAGUUUCUUGUAGCUUGAAACACAUUUCCAUAGAAACAUGCUAUAAAUGGUGGUUGGGCUGGUUCCUAGGUUAGCCCGCAAAGAGCCCCAGUGUCACCUACGAAGUUGCUGAAAUAAUGUAUUAGUAAAAUUGAGAGCGCAAAUGCAGCAGUUCAGAGCUAGCACCCAGGACUCUGGAGGUUAAAUGGUGUGGGUUUAUUUGUGUCACAUUGUUUCUUGGGCAGAAGUGUCUUUUAGAGCCCUCCUCCUGCCCACAGUCGUAACCCCUCCUCUCCCAGUUUACAUUCCUUCUUCCUUCCUCAUCAAGGCAGGGGGCAGGACCUACCUGUGCCUGGGACCUGGGCUGGGGUAUUUUUAUGAUGAGGAAAUUCUGUCCAAAGGCCUUUACAUCAUCAAUAUCAUCAUUACCAUUAUCAUCAUUAUCAUCAUCAUUAUUUAAACCAUCUUGAUCAACUUAACAGAAUAAACAUUACACCUUGGCAAUUUGCGCUGUUUGGAAUUUUCUGAUUGCUAAAUGUUCCUAUGGAGUUUUAACAUAGUUAAAAAGUCCCCCUCUACUAUUUUUUGUUCUGAUUCUGUCACUUAACAUGAGUUCAUCAAAUGGUUUCAUCAGAUUGUUUCCUUGUGUCAAUCCUUUUGUAUUUCAUUCUGUUACCAUACCAUCCUGUAUAUAGGCUCUUAUGAGCCUCUUUUAUAAAAACUCCUUUGAGGUGGUAGUUUGAGUUGUUUUCAUGGGAUCUGGUCUCCUGACUGUAAUAACCUGAUCAAGUCUUCAUCUCUUGCAACACAAUGUGGAAUCACAUUCUAGAAGGAUCUGAGCAGAUUACAGCAGCACCUCAGUGUAUCUGCAGCUGUUUCCUGAUGACCUGCCAACAGCAGCUUUCUUGUUUAAUUUAUUUACUUAUUUUCACCUUGACUCGGGUCAUAAUGGGUCCUUAAUGGUGUUCUGAUUUGCAUAUCUCAAAUUGCUGCUGAGACCCGGCAUUUUUCCUCCUGAUGAUUUACUGUUUGUCUUUCCUUAUGUGUCAAACUGUGCUCAUCUGUGACUGCGGAGCCUCCCCCGCUUACAAUUUAUCUCCUCGGAACCACUUUCCUGUUGGGAAAUGCAAAGUCCUGCCCUCCUCCCCGCCUCCUGGAUGGGGCCCCGCCCCUCGACCUGAACUAACUCCUCUCCAUUCUGGGUGGGGGUGGGAGAUACCAACGAAGGGGGCGCUGUGCCUGUGAUGGAAGCAGAGGGGAGGUAGGUGCCAGGCAGGGGCUUGCCUGCUGAUUCUGAAAUAGGUUCAUUAAAGUGACCUCCUUGGAGGGAGGCUGUGCUGGGAGAAUCUGGGAGGAGCCAAAGGCAGAUAAGGGCUGCAGAGGGCACCUGAGUGCAUCUGGUUUAAGGGUCACCCACUGAAAGGCUGGUAGGGAGUAGGGGGAUCUCAAUAACAGAGGCUAGCUGGGUGCAAGAGAACAGCACAGGCUAGAUGAUAAAUGAUAGUGACCCGUGGCCUAGGAAGGGGUGGAAUCUGUGGAAAAUUGGAACGUGUACCUCCCAUCACAGUGCCUGGCACAGCUACAUGACUCCAUCCCGGAGAAGGAGGGCCCAAUGUAAGCAAUGUUCCUUUUUUGUUUUUUCUUUUUUUAAUGAUAAACCAGAAGUCCCGAUUUUUAACUUAAAUCUCCUGAUUUAAAUAAAUGUUUGGAAAUACAUUUAAUUCAAUAAAAAUAAAAUACCUUAUAUAGGUCAAAUGAAGUGUAUCUGGGAAUGAGCCUGGCUUGUGAGCCUCCAACCUGUGACCCCUCAUUACUUGAUGGUUUUUCUGGGAAAACAGGCCCAGGGAAGCAUCCUCAUAUAGCAGAGAUCAGGACUCAGAAAGCCCGGCUGUCAAGUACCAUCUGUCUGACCUUGGAAGAGCUGUUUAACCUUAUCUAUAAAAAAGAGGAUAACCGCUUCCUUGGGGUGCUGGGUGGACCCGUUGGGAUCGCAUCAUGCCUAGCAUUUAGUAGAUGCUCAGUUAAUGUGUUGAUAGGUCCUGCGUGGGGUAAUCUGGAAAAUUAAGGGAAGAGUUAGGCCCAGAACGUUGCUCUCCUGACUCCUUGUUCAGAGCUUGUUUCAUAUCACAUUGGCCUGCUUUCAUGGGAAUUUUCAGAGAUGUCUGGACACAGGGGUCCUUCUGACCUCUGGGAAAAUACAAGUCACUUUAUGAGAGCUUGCCUGACAGUUACUGAGCUCAUGUAAUGGAGACUUAGCUCU